AAGAUCCGGGAGGACAGACACUUUUCCUGCUUCAGUGGUUGCUACCUUCCAGCCUUUAGAACACGUGCCUCCCACAUACUGAAUGCUUGAUAAAUAUUUACUGAAUGAAAGAAUGAAUUGAAGUUCUAGACUCUCAGGACUUAACUAAGAUGCCCCAAGCCUAGGUGGCGCUGUUCUCACGCAUCAGGGAGGAUCCUGAAAAGGGGACCACUGCUAGCCCUGGGGAGGAAAGAAAAUAAAGAAUAAACACUGUAACAAAAUUCAGAAGCUGCUGAGACUACGGUAUCUCAACGUCACUCUUAACUUCCACUCUGACUGGCUUUUGAACUGAUGGACCUUGUGGGGGCUGACUUUCUAAGAAUACUAUCCUGAGAACUUCAUAGAACAUUCUAAGCGGUUACGGCCUUCCUCUGAGCUUAGUGCAUAAUAAAGGAGCCUGGGAA